rnacentral:rRNA from 1 species
UUUAAUUGAAGAGUUUGAUCAUGGCUCAGAUUGAACGCUGGCGGCAGGCCUAACACAUGCAAGUCGAGCGGCAGCGACAACAUUGAACCUUCGG